UACGAAGGGGGCGAGCGUUGUUCGGAUUUACUGGGCGUAAAGGGCGCGCAGGCGGCUCAUUUUGUCAGGCGUGAAAGCCCCGGGCUUAACCUGGGAACUGCGUUUGAUACGGAUGGGCUAGAGUUCGGGAGAGGAGAGUGGAAUUCCCAGUGUAGAGGUGAAAUUCGUAGAUAUUGGGAAGAACACCGGUGGCGAAGGCGGCUCACUGGCUCAUUACUGACGCUCAGGCGCGAUAGCGUGGGGAUCAAACAGG
rnacentral:rRNA from 1 species